GGGCCCAUAGCUCAGCCUGGUAGAGCAGCAGACUCUUAAUCUGCCUGUCGAGGGUUCAAAUCCCUCUGGGCUCG
rnacentral:tRNA from 1 species